GGAUGAACGCUAGCGACAGGCCUAACACAUGCAAGUCGAGGGGCAGCACAAGGAGCAAUCUGAGGUGGCGACCGGCGCACGGGUGAGUAACACGUAUGCAACCUGCCUGUAAGCGGGGAAUAACCCGUUGAAAGACGGACUAAUACCGCAUAAUACUAAAUUACUGCAUGGUAAUUUAUUUAAACAUUUAUGGCUUACAGAUGGGCAUGCGCAUGAUUAGCUAGUUGGAGAGGUAACGGCUCCCCAAGGCAACGAUCAUUAGGGGUUCUGAGAGGAAGGUCCCCCACACUGGUACUGAGACACGGACCAGACUCCUACGGGAGGCAGCAGUGAGGAAUAUUGGUCAAUGGGCGAGAGCCUGAACCAGCCAAGUCGCGUGCAGGAAGAAUGUCCUAUGGAUUGUAAACUGCUUUUGCAGGGGAAUAAAGUGAGCCACGUGUGGUUUUUUGUAUGUACUCUGCGAAUAAGGAUCGGCUAACUCCGUGCCAGCAGCCGCGGUAAUACGGAGGAUCCGAGCGUUAUCCGGAUUUAUUGGGUUUAAAGGGUGCGUAGGCGGCCGAGUAAGUCAGCGGUGAAAUUUUGCAGCUUAACUGUAACAGUGCCGUUGAUACUGCAUGGCUAGGAUUUGGUUGCUGUGGGUGGAAUGUGUGGUGUAGCGGUGAAAUGCUUAGAUAUCACACAGAAUAUCAAUUGCGAAGGCAGCUCACAAAGCCAAGAUUGACGCUGAGGCACGAAAGUGUGGGGAUCAAACAGGAUUAGAUACCCUGGUAGUCCACACUGUAAACGAUGAUAACUCACUGCCGGCGAUACACAGUCGGUGGCCAAGCGAAAGCGAUAAGUUAUCCACCUGGGGAGUACGACCGCAAGGUUGAAACUCAAAGGAAUUGACGGGGGCCCGCACAAGCGGAGGAACAUGUGGUUUAAUUCGAUGAUACGCGAGGAACCUUACCCGGGCUCGAACGGUGCAUGAAUAAGCAAGAGAUUGUUUAGUCCUUCGGGAUAUGUAUCGAGGUGCUGCAUGGUUGUCGUCAGCUCGUGCCGUGAGGUGUCGGCUUAAGUGCCAUAACGAGCGCAACCCUUGUUGUUAGUUACCAACAGGUAAAGCUGGGGACUCUAACGAGACUGCCACCGUAAGGUGUGAGGAAGGGGGGGAUGACGUCAAAUCAGCACGGCCCUUAUGUCCGGGGCGACACACGUGUUACAAUGGGGGGUACAGAGGGCAGCCAUCCGGUGACGGAGCGCCAAUCUCCAAAACCCUUCUCAGUUCGGAUUGGAGUCUGCAACCCGACUCCAUGAAGUUGGAUUCGCUAGUAAUCGCGCAUCAGCCAUGGCGCGGUGAAUACGUUCCCGGGCCU
rnacentral:rRNA from 1 species